AGCAGCCGCGGUAAUUCCAGCUCCAAUAGCGUAUAUUAAAGUUGUUGCAGUUAAAAAGCUCGUAGUUGAAUUUCGAGACCGGUUUAUUGGUCGCGCUUUUGUACGUACUGGUAUUAUUGGUUUCUCCUUUCUGACGAAUCUUAAUGCCAUUAAUUUGGUGUUUUGGGGAAUCAGGACUGUUACUUUGAAAAAAUUAGAGUGUUUAAAGCAGGCUCACGCUUGAAUACAUUAGCAUGGAAUAACGGAAUAGGACGUUUGAUUCUAUUUUGUUGGUUUCUAGGAUCGACGUAAUGAUUAAUAGGGAUAGUUGGGGGCAUUAGUAUUCAAUUGUCAGAGGUGAAAUUCUUGGAUUUAUUGAAGACUAACUACUGCGAAAGCAUUUGCCAAGGAUGUUUUCACUAAUCAAGAACGAAAGUUAGGGGAUCGAAGACGAUCAGAUACCGUCGUAGUCUUAACCAUAAACUAUGCCGACUAGGGAUCGGAUGAUGUUAAUUUUUAAUGACUCAUUCGGCGCCUUACG
rnacentral:rRNA from 1 species